AAAUUGGAAAAAAAGAAAAGAAAAAAGAAUCAAUAACAAAAGCACAAAACUAACAAAGACCGAUCGGAUGAUCGUAUUUUUCCUCCUCAAUUCUGCUUUUGAAUAAGGUUGGUACAACUGGAAUCACUGAAAAGAGUUAUGGAGAUCGUUUUGAGGCCUUGCUGCUGUUUUGAAGCUAUGCUGUUGUUUUCGUUGCUCACAAGUCACCGAGUUAUGAAAUUUUUUUCUCUACUAUUUCUUUUUAUAAUGUGUGGGAAUUUUUGCCUUGGUCUACAUACACCAAAGGAACUUUGGGUCAAGACAAGUAAAUUAAGCGCCAUUUGUAGAAAGAGAAAUAAUAGGGAUGAUGUCUAGCUAGAAAACUUCAUGCUGAUCCUUGAACAUGCUAUGUGAAGCAUAUGUGCAAAAAAGUAAUAUCUAAGGAAUGUGUUCGACGAGAAUGAAACAUAUUUAUUUUACUAUGACACUUCCUCAAUCAGUCGUCAAAUACAUUGAUUUAUGAUAUCGGGUAACGCCAACUCCAAGAAGUUCUAAUGAUGUAUCAUCAGGGAGAGAAAUAGAUAUUGCACUCUUUUCUCUUAGUAAUGGUACUUGGCUCCAUUAGGUCAUCUACUUGACAUGAUUUUUAAUGUGACAACAUCUUUAAUCAUAUCAAAAAAAUGAUGUAUUAUUUUUCAUUCAUUAAAAUUUUGUCCCAUUGAGUUUUAUUUAAUAAGAUUUCAAAUAGGCAUAAUGAUCGAUAAAUAUUCAAGUGGAAGUGGAUAUUUAUGGAACAGAUGUCUAUAUGUUUAUAGAAUAG